rnacentral:misc_RNA from 1 species
UCAACCCUCAAGCUCCGGCUUGGUGUUGGAGGCCCGGCCGGACCCCUCUCCGGGGGACGGCCGCUCCCAAAGUCAACGGCGGCGUCUGGCGAGUCCUGGUGCAAUGAGCUCUCCGAGCACGCACUGUGGUCUCUCCGGGCGGCGGCCUGAACCCCAUCUUUCAA